rnacentral:rRNA from 1 species
UACGUAGGUGGCAAGCGUUGUCCGGAAUUAUUGGGCGUAAAGGGCGCGUAGGCGGCAACCUAAGUCAGAUGUGAAAUCCCGGGGCUUAACUCCGGAUGUGCAUUUGAAACUGGGUAGCUUGAGUGCAGGAGAGGUAAGUGGAAUUCCUAGUGUAGCGGUGAAAUGCGUAGAUAUUAGGAGGAACACCAGUGGCGAAGGCGACUUACUGGACUGUAACUGACGCUGAGGCGCGAAAGCGUGGGGAGCAAACAGGAUUAGAUACCCUGGUAGUCCACGCUGUAAACGAUGGAUACUAGGUGUGGGAGGUAUCGACCCCUUCCGUGCCGCAGUAAACGCAAUAAGUAUCCCGCCUGGGGAGUACGGCCGCAAGGUUGAA